UAUAUUGAUCUAGUGGUUAGGAUACUUGACUCUCACUCAGGAGUCCCGGGUUCGAUUCACGGUGUCGGAA